rnacentral:rRNA from 1 species
AUUGAACGAUGGCGGAAUGCUUUACACAUGCAAGUCGAACGGCAGCACGGACUUCGGUCUGGUGGCGACUGGCGAACGGGUGAGUAAGGUAUCGGAACGUGCCCAGUCGUGGGGGAUAACGUAGUUAAAAUUACGCUAAUACCGCAUACGAUCUAGGGAUGAAAGCGGGGGAUCGCCAGACCUCGAGCGAUUGGAGCGGCCGAUAACAGAUACGGUAGUUGGUGGGGUAAAGGCCCACCAAGCCAACGAUCUGUAGCUGGUCUGAGAGGACGACCAGCCACACUGGAAGUGAGACACGGUCCAGACUCCUACGGGAGGCAGCAGUGGGGAAUUUUGGACAAUGGGCGAAAGCCUGAUCCAGCCAUUCCGCGUGCAGGAUGAAGGCCCUCGGGUUGUAAACUGCUUUUGUACAGAACGAAAAGGUUUCUACUAAUACUAGGAGCUCAUGACGGUACCGUAAGAAUAAGCACCGGCUAACUACGUGCCAGCCGCCGCAGUAA